rnacentral:rRNA from 1 species
AACUUGAAUAUUAAGAGUUAUGAGCUUUAAAUUCAGAGAAUUUGGCGGUAUUUUAGUCUUGUUAGAGGAACCUGUUCUGUAAGCGAUACAACACGUAGAAUCCUACUUACUCUUGUUUUCAGCUUGUAUACCGUCAUUAUUAGAUAACCUUUAUUGGGUGAGUUAUUGAAUUAUAAAAAAUUAAAUAUAUUAGAUCAAGGUGCAGUUGAUGGGUAAGAAGAAAUGGGUUACAAUAAAAUUUAUUUAAACGAAUUGAUAGUUGAAAAGUUAUUAUGAAGGAGGAUUUAAUUGUAAUAUAAAUUUAAUAAGUUUGUAUGAUAUGAGAACUAAAAUAUGUACACAUACGCCCG